CAUCUGUCCCUGCCCCCACCUUGGGGACUAUAGAGCUGUCGGGGUUGUUUUGAUGGUUAGUUUCUUUCUGUGCUUAGAAUGUGCAUUAGACGCCAUUGUACACAACCAGACAGCAUGAGGAUCGGUCAAAUCAACCUGCUAACUAGGCAACCCUGGACUCAUCUACUGAGGCUCUUCAUAACACUUCUACCAGGGGUUUUUACAGAUGAGCAUGUGAUCCAAGUUCCAUUGGGUGGGAGAGCUACUUUUAGCUUUAAUGUUACACAAAGCAUGGUAAUUACCCAGACAGAAUUGAACAGGUGUACACAUGAGAAAGUUCUUGUGUUCAGCCCCACAUAUGGACUUAAUAUCCAGGACAACAGCUAUGAAGGCCGCUUUUUCCCAAUAGCAAACCACAGCCUUGUACUGGACAAAAUACGAGAGAGUGACUUUGGGACGUACUGCUGUAAACUCACAACGUUCCCUAAUGGAAGUCUAAGGAGGAAAAUAAAGCUACUGAGAGAGACAAAACAAAAAAAUCCAUCCAGUUCAUCAGUCAUAUUGAUAAUCUCAUUGACUUGUGGCAUCGGUUUAGCAGUAUUAUGUGGUAUUGUUGGAGUUGUUUGCCAUAAGGUAAUAAAGUCUUUCAC